AUACCCCCAAGUCUCAUCUUUGGGUCUGACCGUCUUCGCGAGCAAACUCGAGACCUGGAAAACUCCCUCGAUCGGAGCGGAGCGGAGCAGAGGAGAAGAGGAGGGAACUCGAGCACGAGAUGACGAUCCGGUUCGUGCUGUUCGUGAACAAGCAGGGCCAGACGCGGGUGGCGCAGUACUACGAGCACCUCUCCCUCGACGAGCGCCGCGCCCUCGAGGGCGAGAUCGUCCGCAAGUGCCUCGCCCGCACAGACCAGCAGUGCUCGUUCGUGGAGCACCGGAACUACAAGGUCGUGUACAGGCGCUACGCCUCCCUCUUCUUCCUCGUCGGCGUCGACAACGAUGAGAAUGAGUUAGCUAUCCUUGAAUUCAUACAUCUUUUGGUGGAGACUAUGGAUCGCCACUUUGGCAAUGUGUGCGAGCUUGACAUCAUGUUCCACCUGGAGAAGGUGCACUUCAUGCUGGAAGAGAUGGUGAUGAAUGGUUGCAUUGUGGAGACAAGUAAACAGAACAUCUUGGCACCGAUCCAGCUUAUGGAGAAAACUUCUUGAAGUAUUCAAUCUGUCUGGUUUUCCCUCCUCUGGAUACUACGGAAUAAUGAACCAAGCUGUGAAUUGGUGCUGAUGCCUGACGACAUAAAACGAAUGAACUACUGGGACUAUUUUGGUGUGAUGAUUACUUUACAAACAUGAGAACAGAGGCGACAUGGGCUUCAUGCUGGGUACGCACGGAAGGGAUAAGGCAGUGGCAAUUUGGCUGUAAAUAAUGCGAGUUCGAGGGCAAACGAACGCCUGUUCACGUGGGUCUGGUGGAGAAGCACGGCGAAGCCAGGAUUCCAGGCUUCACCUCCACAGUGUAUUUUGGAGGGUUCUUCACCGUCAGCUUCGUUCAUGAAGCUGUUGCAAAAAAGUGUUUGGCAUAGCUUCGGCUGAAGCUGUUGGUGAAGCUCUUCACAAAGCUAUGCCAAACGAGCUCUAAAGCUUGAACUCCAUUUAUAAAGCAUCAUGGUACCGUGUACUCAAAAUGAAAUUCAGUUUUGGUCAAGCAGUAUAAGAGGAGAUAUGUAUGCA